ACCAGACUCCUACGGGAGGCAGCAGUGGGGAAUAUUGCACAAUGGGGGGAACCCUGAUGCAGCGACGCCGCGUGGGUGAAGGAGUAUUUCGGUAUGUAAAGCUCUAUCAGCGGGGAAGAAGAAAGACGGUACCUGACUAAGAAGCCCCGGCUAACUACGUGCCAGCAGCCGCGGUAAUACGUAGGGGGCAAGCGUUAUCCGGAUUUACUGGGUGUAAAGGGAGCGUAGACGGCAGUGCAAGUCUGGAGUGAAAGGCGGGGGCUCAACCCCCGGACUGCUCUGGAAACUGUACGGCUGGAGUGCAGGAGAGGUAAGUGGAAUUCCUAGUGUAGCGGUGAAAUGCGUAGAUAUUAGGAGGAACACCGGUGGCGAAGGCGGCCUGCUGGACUGCGACUGACGUUGAGGCCCGAAAGCGUGGGGAGCAAACAGGAUUAGAUACCCCUGUAUG
rnacentral:rRNA from 1 species